rnacentral:rRNA from 1 species
UGGUGGAGUGAUUUGUCUGGUUAAUUCCGAUAACGAACGAGACCUUAACCUGCUAAAUAGCCAGGCCGUCUUUGGAUGGUCGCCGGCUUCUUAGAGGGACUGUCGGUGUCUAACCGACGGAAGUUUGAGGCAAUAACA